rnacentral:rRNA from 1 species
UACGGAGGGUGCAAGCGUUAUUCGGAUUUACUGGGCGUAAAGAGAGCGUAGGCGGUUUAAUAAGUCUGAUGUGAAAGCCCACGACUCAAUCGUGGAAGUGCAUUGGAUACUGUUAGACUAGAGUGCAGGAGAGGAGAACGGAAUUCCUGGUGUAGAGGUGAAAUUCGUAGAUAUCAGGAGGAACAACAGAGGCGAAGGCGGUUCUCUGGACUGUAACUGACGCUAAGGCUCGAAAGUGUGGGUAGCAAACGGG